GACAAUGCAUGAGCAAUUGGCUAUCAAAAUGGUCUUGGAUAAGUCAACCAAUUAAAUGAUUGUAUAUUAUUUAACAUCCCAAACCUUGCACAGACAUGUUUAAUGGGGCUGCAACACUCUUUAAAAAAUUGUGAUACAUUGCAAAAGAUUUAGAUAGUCCCAUUGGUUAAGUGAGUCAAUUUUAUCAGCACAAGGCGAAUAGGCGAUUAUUCAUGUGAUUAAUGAUUACCAGACACUUUCAAUUUUAUAGAGUAAUUAGAGAAUUCAUAAUAUCUCUCUCUUAUUUCCAUGUUAUCUGAGAUUUUCCCCUAGGCUGGAACAGAUACCUCUUAAAAAAUUUAAACCAAACAUAAGAACCCCAUCAGUUAAUAAGCAGCAGAUACUAAUUAAUGCCAACAGUGUUUUCCAGUAGUAAAUGCCAGAAGUAUUUCCAGCAGAAAGUUAGUUAAGCAUAAGAAGACUGAAGGUCAAGCAACUAUCACCAGAAGUUUCCGAACCUCAUUACAGCAUUUAAAACCAACACAUUACUGUUGCUUAUAACAAAACUAACAGGAAAAAGAAAUAGAACAUAGAAGAGCAGAUCCAAACCUCACUGCCAUUCAAUGUCAU
rnacentral:misc_RNA from 1 species